rnacentral:rRNA from 1 species
GUAGGACACUCUAUACGGAGUUACAAAGGACGACAUUAGACGAAUCAUCUGGAAAGAUGAAUCAAAGAAGGUAAUAAUCCUGUAGUCGAAAAUGUUGUCUCUCUUGAGUGGAUCCUGAGUACGACGGAGCACGUGAAAUUCCGUCGGAAUCUGGGAGGACCAUCUCCUAAGGCUAAAUACUCUCUAGUGACCGAUAGUGAACCAGUACCGUGAGGGAAAGGUGAAAAGCACCCCGGAAGGGGAGUGAAAUAGAACCUGAAACCGUGUGCUUACAAGUAGUCAGAGCCCGUUAAUGGGUGAUGGCGUGCCUUUUGUAGAAUGAACCGGCGAGUUACGAUUUGAUGCAAGGUUAAGCAGUAAAUGUGGAGCCGUAGCGAAAGCGAGUCUGAAUAGGGCGUUUAGUAUUUGGUCGUAGACCCGAAACCAGGUGAUCUACCCUUGGUCAGGUUGAAGUUCAGGUAACACUGAAUGGAGGACCGAACCGACUUACGUUGAAAAGUGAGCGGAUGAACUGAGGGUAGCGGAGAAAUUCCAAUCGAACCUGGAGAUAGCUGGUUCUCUCCGAAAUAGCUUUAGGGCUAGCCUCAAGUGAUGAUUAUUGGAGGUAGAGCACUGUUUGGACGAGGGGCCCCUCUCGGGUUACCGAAUUCAGACAAACUCCGAAUGCCAAUUAAUUUAACUUGGGAGUCAGAACAUGGGUGAUAAGGUCCGUGUUCGAAAGGGAAACAGCCCAGACCACCAGCUAAGGUCCCAAAAUAUAUGUUAAGUGGAAAAGGAUGUGGCGUUGCCCAGACAACUAGGAUGUUGGCUUAGAAGCAGCCAUCAUUUAAAGAGUGCGUAAUAGCUCACUAGUCGAGUGACACUGCGCCGAAAAUGUACCGGGGCUAAACAUAUUACCGAAGCUGUGGAUUGUCCUUUGGACAAUGGUAGGAGAGCGUUCUAAGGGCGUUGAAGCAUGAUCGUAAGGACAUGUGGAGCGCUUAGAAGUGAGAAUGCCGGUGUGAGUAGCGAAAGACGGGUGAGAAUCCCGUCCACCGAUUGACUAAGGUUUCCAGAGGAAGGCUCGUCCGCUCUGGGUUAGUCGGGUCCUAAGCUGAGGCCGACAGGCGUAGGCGAUGGAUAACAGGUUGAUAUUCCUGUACCACCUAUAAUCGUUUUA